rnacentral:lncRNA from 1 species
AUGUCAUCUGGUCAGGAUACCAUUACCAUAUUUGAAAACCAAAUGGGUUAUCUCCUGGACUCCUUGUCACUUCUCACGUUGGCCAAAGGCCAGGCAGUGCUGGAUUUGUACAGUGGACGUGUUCUGCAGAGCCCUAUUCUCUCUGUCCUCUGAUUUUGAGUACCUGGAUUUACCUCCUCACCACAAGAAAGCACUGGAGGAGAAAUGUAGUGGAAGACCAAAGAAUAUGCCUAAAUUUUUAAAGAAGUCAUUAUGGAAAAUAUAAUUCUGGACUUUAAGACCUUUUUAUACAGUGGUAGCUAUAAUAAGUACAGUGAGAAUUUUUAAAAAACUUAAUAUAUGAUAAUAGAUGUAAUACAACAACAAAAUAGACAAUUACUAUUAUUAGGAUGUUUAGAUAACUUUAGAAUUAA